rnacentral:ncRNA from 1 species
CAAAGCUUUGGUCCUGACUUUACAUUCAGCUUCAACCAAAUUUAUACAUGCAAGUCUCCGCACUCCUGUGAGGAUGCCCUUUACCCUCUGCCCGGGGGCAAGGAGCUGGUAUCAGGCACGCACAAAGCAGCCCAGGACGCCUUGUUUAGCCACACCCCCAAGGGUACUCAGCAGUGAUAGACAUUAAGCAAUAAGCGAAAGCUUGACUAGGUUACGGUUUUUAGGGCCGGUAAAUCUCGUGCCAGCCACCGCGGUUAAACGGGUGGCCCAAGUUGAAAAUCACCGGCGUAAAGAGUGGUUAGGGAAACAAAAAACUAAAGCCGAACACCCUCCAGGCCGUGAUACGCUUCCGAGGGUAUGAAGCCCUACUACGAAAGUGGCUUUAAUACACCUGAACCCACGACAACUAAGACACAAACUGGGAUUAGAUACCCCACUAUGCUUAGCCGUAAACUUUGAUAUUAACUUACCCCUAAUAUCCGCCAGGGGACUACAAGCGUUAGCUUAAAACCCAAAGGACCUGGCGGUGCCUCAUACCCACCUAGAGGAGCCUGUUCUUGAAUCGAUAAUCCCCGUCAACCUCACCACCCCUUGUUCAACCCGCCUAUAUACCGCCGUCGUCAGCUCACCCUGUGAAGGUCUUAAAGUGAGCAAAAUGGGCACAACCCAAAACGUCAGGUCAAGGUGCAGCGUAUGCGGUGGGAAGAAAUGGGCUACAUUACCUACCCCAGGUCAUCACGGAAAGGGUUGUGAAACCAGCCCUGGAAGGUGGAUUUAGCAGUAAGAAGAAAAUAGAGAGUUCUUCUGAGCCGGCUCUGAGGCGCGCACAUACCGCCCGUCACUCUCUCCGAAUUCACUUAAUCUGGUUCUUAACAAGACAACCGAACAAAGGGGAGGCAAGUCGUAACAUGGUAAGUGUACCGGAAGGUGCACUUGGAACAAC